GAUGAACGCUGGCGGCGUGCCUAAUACAUGCAAGUCGAGCGAACAGACGAGGAGCUUGCUCCUCUGACGUUAGCGGCGGACGGGUGAGUAACACGUGGAUAACCUACCUAUAAGACUGGGAUAACUUCGGGAAACCGGAGCUAAUACCGGAUAAUAUAUUGAACCGCAUGGUUCAAUAGUGAAAGACGGUUUUGCUGUCACUUAUAGAUGGAUCCGCGCCGCAUUAGCUAGUUGGUAAGGUAACGGCUUACCAAGGCAACGAUGCGUAGCCGACCUGAGAGGGUGAUCGGCCACACUGGAACUGAGACACGGUCCAGACUCCUACGGGAGGCAGCAGUAGGGAAUCUUCCGCAAUGGGCGAAAGCCUGACGGAGCAACGCCGCGUGAGUGAUGAAGGUCUUCGGAUCGUAAAACUCUGUUAUUAGGGAAGAACAAAUGUGUAAGUAACUACGCACGUCUUGACGGUACCUAAACAGAAAGCCACGGCUAACUACGUG
rnacentral:rRNA from 1 species